UCCAACAUGAGGCACAUUCUGAAGGAAGCGUGAUGAGCAAAAUUCCGGUCCGAGGAACACGAAGCGUAUAAGGCAUUCGAAGUGGGAUGAGUCUGCUAAACGAGACAAAAUCCAAUAAACUGCACAGACACGGGGAUGUAAAUACGGAGGGUAUAUGGGAUGAAAGUUACGUGU
rfam:Desulfosporosinus orientis DSM 765, complete genome.